AUGAAACUGAAGCCAGAUCAAAACGUUGACUCCAACUGUACUCGAUUCAAAGAGAAAGUGGGAAAUACAACUAGGAAAAGGACUGAAGACCACGACACCUGUGCCACAUCUACCACUAACCCCCCCUUGACCCCUUCAAAACCCACCCUCCUAUCCACUAUGUCUCUCAAUACCUUCCACCUGAUGGAGACCCUCAAGAAAUCCCCGGCUGCUUUACGCCGCCGUUUCCGCCGCGACCGCACAGAGUCCCUCUCCCACGGCGAUCCGCUAUUCAAGGUCCACUACCUGGGCACUGAGAAAAUCUUCUCCCUGGAUCGAGAGCAGGCCCAGGAUGCCAUAGCCCGUCUGCUCGAUGGGGCCGCAAAUGGAAAGAAGCUGAGCAAAGACCACGCGUUAGUUGUUCGUCCACGCUAUGUCGAAGUCAAAGAGCUCAGCACAGGACGCCAGCUCACUAAGACGUACCUCCAGGACAUCGCCUACUGCGCGGCCGACGCCACCAGACCCAACGUGUUUCUGUACAUCUGUAAGCAGCGUGGGCAACAGCUGCAGUGCCGGGUGUUCUGGUGCAGCCGGGCAGAGCGGGCACGGGACAUGACGGCCUGUCUGGCACACUCCUUCCAGAGGGCACUGAGUGACUGGCAGGGGGAUGGCGGAAGUACCGGCACACUGACCCCAGAAAAGGUUGGGGCGAAGGAGGGAGAGGAUAUGCCCACCACCCCUAAUAGCUCCAAAAACUCCAUGCUAACAGCUAGCUUAAGACGAGUCCGUUGGAAGAAGAGGAGGUCCCUGUCUCGCAGUCCACUGAGUGCCAUGAUCAGGAAGAGAUCCACCUCAGACAUCUGGCACUGA
rnacentral:lncRNA from 13 species